rnacentral:piRNA from 1 species
CAACUGGGGAGAAGUCUGAUGCGGAAAC